AGAGUUUGAUCCUGGCUCAGGAUGAACGCUAGCGGCAGGCUUAACACAUGCAAGUCGAGGGGCAGCAUAAUGGAUAGCAAUAUCUAUGGUGGCGACCGGCGCACGGGUGCGUAACGCGUAUGCAACCUACCUUUAACAGGGGGAUAACACUGAGAAAUUGGUACUAAUACCCCAUAACAUCAUGAAAGGCAUCUUUUAUGGUUGAAAAUUCCGAUGGUUAGAGAUGGGCAUGCGUUGUAUUAGCUAGUUGGUGGGGUAACGGCUCACCAAGGCGACGAUACAUAGGGGGACUGAGAGGUUAACCCCCCACACUGGUACUGAGACACGGACCAGACUCCUACGGGAGGCAGCAGUGAGGAAUAUUGGUCAAUGGACGCAAGUCUGAACCAGCCAUGCCGCGUGCAGGAUGACGGCUCUAUGAGUUGUAAACUGCUUUUGUACGAGGGUAAACGCAGAUACGUGUAUCUGUCUGAAAGUAUCGUACGAAUAAGGAUCGGCUAACUCCGUGCCAGCAGCCGCGGUAAUACGGAGGAUUCAAGCGUUAUCCGGAUUUAUUGGGUUUAAAGGGUGCGUAGGCGGUUUGAUAAGUUAGAGGUGAAAUGUUGGGGCUCAACCCUGAAACUGCCUCUAAUACUGUUGGACUAGAGAGUAGUUGCGGUAGGCGGAAUGUAUGGUGUAGCGGUGAAAUGCUUAGAGAUCAUACAGAACACCGAUUGCGAAGGCAGCUUACCAAACUAUAUCUGACGUUGAGGCACGAAAGCGUGGGGAGCAAACAGGAUUAGAUACCCUGGUAGUCCACGCAGUAAACGAUGAUAACUCGUUGUCGGCGAUACACAGUCGGUGACUAAGCGAAAGCGAUAAGUUAUCCACCUGGGGAGUACGUUCGCAAGAAUGAAACUCAAAGGAAUUGACGGGGGCCCGCACAAGCGGAGGAACAUGUG
rnacentral:rRNA from 1 species